GGCUGGGGUCGGGGGCGGAUGGGGGCGGGCGGGACCAAGGAAAGGGAUCACGAGUCCCCUCGGAUCGUGCUGGACAUCCUGCUGGGUGGCUUGGCAGCGCACUGUUCGGUAACGUCAAGCUUUGCUUUUGGACGCAAAACGGAGAACUCUUGAAAUUGGCCACUCUUGUAAACUGAGGUGCUGAGACAUCCAGCAGUGUUUGAAUGAUGCUUAAAGAUUUAGAAGGUAGAAUGCGGCUGUUCUCCUCUCAGGAGACGGGCAGGAUGAGAGGGAUUGCUGCUGCUCACAGCAUUGUGGUUAUCUACUGGCGUCCUGUAGAACAGGGAUGCAGCCAGUCUUGACAUUUCCUCCAGCACCUGCUGCUACGGCUUCCCUGGCUUCCCUGUCUCCUGGGCCAGGUGCCCGUUUAGCUCCCCGACAAAGGCACCCUGCUGGCGACUUGGAGAUGCAUCCACCAAAGAAUUGAUGCUUUUGAACUGUGGUGUUGGAGAAGACACUUGAGAGUCCC